GGCCAACACCCCGAUGAAGACAGACACAAAAAUGCUCAUCAAAAAUACUAGGAGAUGGCUACAUUGAGAACACAGGUUUUGCUUCUAUCCCUGUAGUUUUAUUGCAGUGAUGACAAUGAGACCUGUAAUAUUU
ensembl:snoRNA